ACGACGGGUCUCCGUAGGGUGAACCUGCGGAGGGAUCAUUACACAAAUAUGAAGGCGGGCUGGAACCUCUCGGGGUUACAGCCUUGCUGAAUUAUUCACCCUUGUCUUUUGCGUACUUCUUGUUUCCUUGGUGGGUUCGCCCACCACUAGGACAAACAUAAACCUUUUGUAAUUGCAAUCAGCGUCAGUAACAAAUUAAUAAUUACAACUUUCAACAACGGAUCUCUUGGUUCUGGCAUCGAUGAAGAACGCAGCGAAAUGCGAUAAGUAGUGUGAAUUGCAGAAUUCAGUGAAUCAUCGAAUCUUUGAACGCACAUUGCGCCCUUUGGUAUUCCAAAGGGCAUGCCUGUUCGAGCGUCAUUUGUACCCUCAAGCUUUGCUUGGUGUUGGGCGUCUUGUCUCUAGCUUUGCUGGAGACUCGCCUUAAAGUAAUUGGCAGCCGGCCUACUGGUUUCGGAGCGCAGCACAAGUCGCACUCUCUAUCAGCAAAGGUCUAGCAUCCAUUAAGCCUUUUUUUCAACUUUUGACCUCGGAUCAGGUAGGGAUACCCGCUGAACUUAAGCAUAUCAAA
rnacentral:rRNA from 1 species